UACGUAGGUGACAAGCGUUGUCCGGAUUUACUGGGCGUAAAGAGCGCGCAGGCGGUCGUCCAAGUCGAGUGUGAAAGCCCCCGGCUCAACUGGGGAGGGUCAUUCGAUACUGAUCGACUCGAAGGCAGGAGAGGGUAGUGGAAUUCCCGGUGUAGUGGUGAAAUGCGUAGAUAUCGGGAGGAACACCAGUGGCGAAGGCGACUACCUGGCCUGUUCUUGACGCUGAGGCGCGAAAGCUAGGGGAGCAAACGGG
rnacentral:rRNA from 1 species